rnacentral:rRNA from 1 species
GGGUUGUGAGGUUAAGCGACUAAGCGUACACGGUGGAUGCCCUGGCAGUCAGAGGCGAUGAAGGGCGUGCUAAUCUGCGAUAAGCGCCGGUAAGGUGAUAUGAACCGUUAUAACCGGCGAUACCCGAAUGGGGAAACCCAGUGUGACUCGUCACACUAUCAUUAACUGAAUCCAUAGGUUAAUGAGGCGAACCGGGGUAACUGAAACAUCUAAGUACCCCGAGGAAAAGAAAUCAACCGAGAUUCCCCCAGUAGCGGCGAGCGAACGGGGAGGAGCCCAGAGCCUGAAUCAGCAUGUGUGUUAGUGGAAGCGUCUGGAAAGGCGCGCGAUACAGGGUGACAGCCCCGUACACAAAAGCGCAUGUGCUGUGAGCUCGAUGAGUAGGGCGGGACACGUGGUAUCCUGUCUGAAUAUGGGGGGACCAUCCUCCAAGGCUAAAUACUCCUGACUGACCGAUAGUGAACCAGUACCGUGAGGGAAAGGCGAAAAGAACCCCGGCGAGGGGAGUGAAAAAGAACCUGAAACCGUGUACGUACAAGCAGUGGGAGCCCCACCACCAAAGCAUUUGCUGUACCGCGUUGACGGAGCGAAGCGACGUCAAACCGAUAAAACAGCAGUGUAAAGUGAGCCGCAGGGCGCUUUGCGCGACAGCGCAAAGGCAGGCGGUUUCGCGUAGCGAAAGCGAAUGCUUUGGGGUGGGGUGACUGCGUACCUUUUGUAUAAUGGGUCAGCGACUUAUAUUCUGUAGCAAGGUUAACCGAAUAGGGGAGCCGGAGGGAAACCGAGUCUUAAUUGGGCGUUAAGUUGCAGGGUAUAGACCCGAAACCCGGUGAUCUAGCCAUGGGCAGGUUGAAGGUUGGGUAACACUAACUGGAGGACCGAACCGACUAAUGUUGAAAAAUUAGCGGAUGACCUGUGGCUGGGGGUGAAAGGCCAAUCAAACCGGGAGAUAGCUGGUUCUCCCCGAAAGCUAUUUAGGUAGCGCCUCGUGAAUUCAUCUCCGGGGGUAGAGCACUGUUUCGGCUAGGGGGCCAUCCCGGCUUACCAACCCGAUGCAAACUGCGAAUACCGGAGAAUGUUAUCACGGGAGACACACGGCGGGUGCUAACGUCCGUCGUGAAGAGGGAAACAACCCAGACCGCCAGCUAAGGUCCCAAAGUCAUGGUUAAGUGGGAAACGAUGUGGGAAGGCCCAGACAGCCAGGAUGUUGGCUUAGAAGCAGCCAUCAUUUAAAGAAAGCGUAAUAGCUCACUGGUCGAGUCGGCCUGCGCGGAAGAUGUAACGGGGCUAAACCAUGCACCGAAGCUGCGGCAGCGACACUGUGUGUUGUUGGGUAGGGGAGCGUUCUGUAAGCCUGUGAAGGUGUGUCGUGAGGCAUGCUGGAGGUAUCAGAAGUGCGAAUGCUGACAUAAGUAACGAUAAAGCGGGUGAAAAGCCCGCUCGCCGGAAGACCAAGGGUUCCUGUCCAACGUUAAUCGGGGCAGGGUGAGUCGACCCCUAAGGCGAGGCCGAAAGGCGUAGUCGAUGGGAAACGGGUUAAUAUUCCCGUACUUGGUGUUACUGCGAAGGGGGGACGGAGAAGGCUAUGUUGGCCGGGCGACGGUUGUCCCGGUUUAAGCGUGUAGGUGUGUGUUCCAGGUAAAUCCGGUUCACUUUAACACUGAGGCGUGACGACGAGGCACUACGGUGCUGAAGCAACAAAUGCCCUGCUUCCAGGAAAAGCCUCUAAGCAUCAGGUAACAUCAAAUCGUACCCCAAACCGACACAGGUGGUCAGGUAGAGAAUACCAAGGCGCUUGAGAGAACUCGGGUGAAGGAACUAGGCAAAAUGGUGCCGUAACUUCGGGAGAAGGCACGCUGACACGUAGGUGAAGUGAUUUACUCAUGGAGCUGAAGUCAGUCGAAGAUACCAGCUGGCUGCAACUGUUUAUUAAAAACACAGCACUGUGCAAACACGAAAGUGGACGUAUACGGUGUGACGCCUGCCCGGUGCCGGAAGGUUAAUUGAUGGGGUCAGCGCAAGCGAAGCUCCUGAUCGAAGCCCCGGUAAACGGCGGCCGUAACUAUAACGGUCCUAAGGUAGCGAAAUUCCUUGUCGGGUAAGUUCCGACCUGCACGAAUGGCGUAAUGAUGGCCAGGCUGUCUCCACCCGAGACUCAGUGAAAUUGAACUCGCUGUGAAGAUGCAGUGUACCCGCGGCAAGACGGAAAGACCCCGUGAACCUUUACUAUAGCUUGACACUGAACAUUGAGCCUUGAUGUGUAGGAUAGGUGGGAGGCUUUGAAGUGUGGACGCCAGUCUGCAUGGAGCCGACCUUGAAAUACCACCCUUUAAUGUUUGAUGUUCUAACGUGGACCCGUUACCCGGGUUGCGGACAGUGUCUGGUGGGUAGUUUGACUGGGGCGGUCUCCUCCUAAAGAGUAACGGAGGAGCACGAAGGUUGGCUAAUCCUGGUCGGACAUCAGGAGGUUAGUGCAAUGGCAUAAGCCAGCUUGACUGCGAGCGUGACGGCGCGAGCAGGUGCGAAAGCAGGUCAUAGUGAUCCGGUGGUUCUGAAUGGAAGGGCCAUCGCUCAACGGAUAAAAGGUACUCCGGGGAUAACAGGCUGAUACCGCCCAAGAGUUCAUAUCGACGGCGGUGUUUGGCACCUCGAUGUCGGCUCAUCACAUCCUGGGGCUGAAGUAGGUCCCAAGGGUAUGGCUGUUCGCCAUUUAAAGUGGUACGCGAGCUGGGUUUAGAACGUCGUGAGACAGUUCGGUCCCUAUCUGCCGUGGGCGCUGGAGAACUGAGGGGGGCUGCUCCUAGUACGAGAGGACCGGAGUGGACGCAUCACUGGUGUUCGGGUUGUCAUGCCAAUGGCACUGCCCGGUAGCUAAAUGCGGAAGAGAUAAGUGCUGAAAGCAUCUAAGCACGAAACUUGCCCCGAGAUGAGUUCUCCCUGAGACUUAGAGUCUCCUGAAGGAACGUUGAAGACGACGACGUUGAUAGGCCGGGUGUGUAAGCGCAGCGAUGCGUUGAGCUAACCGGUACUAAUGAACCGUGAGGCUUAACCUUACAACGCCGAAG